rnacentral:misc_RNA from 1 species
GAUGAAGAACGUAGCGAAAUGCGAUAAGUAGUGUGAAUUGCAGAAUUCAGUGAAUCAUCGAAUCUUUGAACGCACAUUGCGCCCUUUGGUAUUCCUUAGGGCAUGCCUGUUCGAGCGUCAUCUAAACCUUCAAGCACUGCUUGGUGUUGGGUGCCUGUCCCCCCCCGCGCGUGGACUCACCUCAAAUCCAUUGGCGGCCCUCACGUCGGCUACGAGCGCAGCAGAAACGCGAACUUGUGGACCCGGCGGAGUGGCUCCCAGAAGCUACAUUCACCAUUUUGACCUCGGAUCAGGUAGGGAUACCCGCUGAACUUAAGCAUAUCAAUAAGCGGAGGA